rnacentral:rRNA from 1 species
AUUGAACGCUGGCGGCAUGCCUUACACAUGCAAGUCGAACGGUAACGCGGGGCAACCUGGCUACGAGUGGCGAACGGGUGAGUAACGCAUCGGAACGUGCCCAGUAGUGGGGGAUAGCCCGGCGAAAGCCGGAUUAAUACCGCAUACGACCUACGGGCGAAAGGGGGGGAUCGCAAGACCUCUACCGAUUGGAGCGGCCGGUGUCGGAUCAGGUAGUUGGUGGGGUAAAGGCCUACCAAGCCGACGAUCUGUAGCUGGUCUGAGAGGCCGACCAGCCACACUGGGACUGAGACACGGCCCAGACUCCUACGGGAGGCAGCAGUGGGGAAUUUUGGACAAUGGGCGAAAGCCUGAUCCAGCCAUGCCGCGUGCGGGAAGAAGGCCUUCGGGUUGUAAACCGCUUUUGUCAGGGAAGAAAUCGUCUGGGUUAAUACCUCGGGAGGAUGACGGUACCUGAAGAAUAAGCACCGGCUAACUACGUGCCAGCAGCCGCCGUAA